rnacentral:lncRNA from 1 species
UAUAGUUCAAAGGAUACACAAAAAUACUCUAAGGGCGCGUUUGGUUCGCGUUAUGUAAUAUUACAUGUUAUUUCGACAUAUGCAGGUAUCUUGGAUUUCUGAACGAGAUUACUAUUGAUGCUGCAUUAACGCGUUUGGUUUAAUGCAAUAAUAUAAUCCUGAAUUACAGUGUAUAUAGUAUUACUAUAUUUGGUUCAAUUUAUAAAAUUCAGUAAUCCUAACAACAAAAUGUAAUCUAUUCCAAAAUUACCCUUAGUCGUAUUUAGUAAAAAAAAAUUUACUAUUUACAAAUUAAUUUUUGUAUUAAAUUUUAUUUUAAAUAAUUUAAAAUAUGAAUUUGAAUUAUAUAUUUUUUAAUUUUUAAUUUUAAAUUUUAAAUCUGAACAAAAACAUAAAAUUUAAUAUUUUAAUUGAAAAUAUAAAUAUGAAAUUUAUAAAUUUUUCUAUAUUAGAACUAUUUAGAACUGAUAGAACUAAGGGCAAUUUUGGAAUAGAUUAUACACUAUUAGAACUAUUUAGAAAUCAAAUUUCAUAAUUUUUCGACAUCAUUACCAAGUAAUCAAAAUGUCUCAAAAAUGACUAUUUAAAUGACCGAUGUGGCACGUUUGUAAGUUCAACGGUGUGGAAGAAUCCAAAUUAUAUGAAACGUUAACAAAAAAUUAUACUUAACAUCAAGAGGAAGAAUAAUACUUUCGAUUUGAGAUUUGAGCCUUUUAGCAAUAUAUUUUAUGAGAUUUUUAUUUUCAACCGCUCAUUUUUAGACUACUUAUUUACUAGGCAAAUGAAGUCAAAAAAUAAUAAAAUUUGGUUUCCAAAUAGUUUUAAUAACGUAGAUUAUGUCUAAUAGAGCCGAUCAUCGAAUCAAAUAUUCUAUCAUCGAAAACAACUUACAAGUAUGGAGGCUUCCGUGCUUUCGAAAAAGCAAG